AAGAUGUUUUAUUUUCAUUUACAUUUGAAUCUAGCUGCUUUAGGUAGGAAGAAUUCAUGCCAUCAAGUAGUAUCCAAGAUUAUUAGUUGCUUCGGUUCUGAACUGUAACACGCUCCCAUUAGUGAGUCAGUAGUGGUGGCCAAAUCAUUGCCCAUCAAUCUCCUCUGGAAUUCCAGCUUAACUUCCCUCUUUUGUUCUAUAACCAGCAAAGCGUUCUUUCUAUUGCCUAUCCCAUCAUGCGGACAUCUGUCUUUUGCUGUCUUCUUAUUCCAGUAGCUGCAAACAUUCUUCAUAUGGAUUGAGACAACCUUGAGUAGUAAAAGCCAUGACUGCCAUCCUAUCUCCUUGCAAUUCUGCAAAAGGUUCUAAUACUGGGAUCGCUUUUUUUCAAUGGCUUGAUCGCACCUUUCUUUCCACAGGAUUGUAAGCUGGAUCAAGAUCGUUCUUUUUUUUUGCCUUUUCAGGCAAGAAAACCUCAUCUGUCUUCACUGUUGUCUAGACGACCUGGGGAAUCUACAAUCUUACCCCCGAUCUGUUUUCAUAUUCCAUUAUUGGCUUCAAGUAGUAGACUGCUUUUUCUUUUGCGGUCAUCAUUGGUUUUUCUUUUCUCCUCUCACAAACUUGAUUGCUGGCGUUAUUUUCCCCUGUUGUCGGUAUUUCUUGUGUCUUUCUUGCUUUUGUGAACGAAUAUUGCAAGCACCUUGUCAUAGAGUCACUUGCAUUCCACUUGAGUGAGCCUGUUUUGCACCCUGAUAAGAUAAUUACAAAGUGCACUUUUCUCCACAGAGCUGACACUGCUGAUCACCUUCAUAGCUAAUCUAUGCAGCUUUAUUGGCACUGAGGGAUUGUCAUACACUGCUCGCAACAGGAAAGAGAUACGUAAAGGUCCUAGUUUCCACAGUUUUAAAGCAAGACUUGUCUUAUGGUUUAAUGGCGGAAACGACACUCUGAAGAAAGCUGCAUUACGAAAAGCUUCGUAUUUAAUAAAAUUAUAAAACAUA
rnacentral:lncRNA from 1 species